GAUGAACGCUGGCGGCGUGCCUAAUACAUGCAAGUCGAACGCUUCACUUCGGUGAAGAGUGGCGAACGGGUGAGUAAUACAUAAGUAACCUGGCAUCUACAGGGGGAUAACUGAUGGAAACGUCAGCUAAGACCGCAUAGGUGUAGAGAUCGCAUGAACUCUAUAUGAAAAGUGCUACGGGACUGGUAGAUGAUGGACUUAUGGCGCAUUAGCUUGUUGGUAGGGUAACGGCCUACCAAGGCGACGAUGCGUAGCCGACCUGAGAGGGUGACCGGCCACACUGGGACUGAGACACGGCCCAGACUCCUACGGGAGGCAGCAGUAGGGAAUUUUCGGCAAUGGGGGAAACCCUGACCGAGCAACGCCGCGUGAAGGAAGAAGUAAUUCGUUAUGUAAACUUCUGUCAUAGAGGAAGAACGGUGGAUAUAGGGAAUGAUAUCCAAG
rnacentral:rRNA from 1 species